AGUUACAGUGGUGAAUUUUGAAUUGAAGACUCGAAAAAUGGACACAUUUUUGAAGAAAAGAGAUUCUGGCACCGCCAUAUCUACUUUCAGUGAUGAAGCUGACCAUGAAGUCGAACUGAUUAAGGAAUCAUUCAGACCUAUUUGAAAGGAGCUUCUUGCCUCAACACUCUUGCCAGUUGCCAUCUCUGCUACAAGAGUCACAGAAAUCUGUUACAAUUCAGUAAACAUACAGCUUCUGUGAGAACAAUCCCAUGUUUCUGCCUCUUGCACACCUGCUCCUCAAAUUAUAGCAAACAGAAGUCAACGCCCAGGAUUUUUGCUGCCUGACUGUCCAGAAGAGGGAGGAGGCCAGGUUGAAAACUUUUUAAAACGUCUUUUUAGAAGCAGGGAGACAUCACCGAACAAAGUCACAGUUGCUAAAGAAGAGACAGUCAAGACACUGCAGCAAUCCUUUUAUGAGAGGCAACACAGCAUCAGAUAGAAAGCAUUUGAAACAUCUAAAGAAAUCAGAGAUUUCCUUUCAAACAUCAAGUGGAUGGACUGAGCUGACAAUUAUGAUGUUCAAUGGUAUUAGCAGAAUGGCUUAAAUUUUGUCCUCAACUGUUCAUCCUGCCAACGAGCAAUAAGGAGUUAACAAAAACAGAUGUUUUGCAUUGUUCUUUGGCUAUUUUGAAAGAACUUCCUGUGCCAAGAUUUUCUGAUAACUUCUGAAUGGAUUUGGAAGGGCAGCCAAAAAAGCCUUUGCUUGCUUUCUUCGUAAGGAGAAACAAU